CUCGCUAAAUUUAAGCAUAUUAAUAAGUGGAGGAAAAGAAACUUACCAGGAUUUCUCUAGUAACGGCGAGAGAACCAAAAAAAGCUCAGCUUGAGAAUUGGGUGCCAACAGCGUCCAAAUUGUAGUCUGGAGAAGCGUCCUCAGCGGUGGAUUGGGCUUAAGUCCCCUGGAAAGGGGUGCCAGAGAGGGUUAAAGCCUCGUUGUGCCGUAAUUUUAUUGCACCACGAGGCACUGUCUACGAGUUGGGUUGUUUGGGAAUGCAGCCCUAAUGGGUCAGUAAAUUUUGUUAAAGGUUAAAUACGAAUGAGAUCGAUAACAAACAAGUUUCGUGAGGGAAAAAUGAAAAGUACUUUGAAAAGAGAGUCGAAGAGUGCUUGAAAUUAUCGCGCCCUAGUCAGAUGUGGAAUAGUUAGAGUUGGUCCAUUGAUCGACUCGGGGCAUAAACAGACGCGGGUUAUGGCGAUGACCAAAGCUUGGGGUUUUGAUACAUCCGUAGAGAUGUCGCCUCGAUCGUGGGAUUUAGCAUGCAGUCUCGGCACGCUUCAACGCUUGCGUGCUCUGGGCGUCAGCCUGCUAGCUCCUCAUUCGGCUUGUCUUAAAACACAGACCAAUGAGUCUUACAUGUUUGUGAGUCAAUGGGCUAGAAAUCCCAUAAAGCGCAUAGAAGUUGAUUGGCAGGAUACGUUAUUGGUGCACUGCUAAUAGACCUUGAUCUUUUGAGAAGGGUUUGAGUAAGAGCAUGCCUGUCGGGACUCGAAAGAUGGUGAAUUAUGCUUGAGCGAAGCAAAGCUAGAGAAAACUUUGGUGGAUACCUGCAACGAUACUGAUGUGCAAAUCAUACGUUUGACUUAGGUAUAAGGACGACUAAUUGAACCGUUUAGUAGCUGGUUUCCUCCGAAGUUUCCUUCAGGAUAACUGGAGCCCUUAGUGAGUUCUAUUAGGUAAAUCCAAUUAUUAGUCAUUUGGGGCAUAACGCCUUCGACCUAUUCUCAAACUUUAAAUUGAUAUAACGGUGUAACUGCUUCGUUGAGUUGAGCUAUAAAAUUGAGAGCUCCAAGUGGGCUAUUUUUGGUAAACAGAACUAGCGAUGCGAGAUGAACCGGAAGUUAGAUUACGGUGCCCAACUGUGUGCUAACCUAGAACCCAUAAAAGGUGUUGGUCGAUUAAGACAGCAAGACGGUGGUCAUGGAAGUCGAAACCUAUUAAGGAGUGUGUAACAACUCUCCUGUCGAAUCAACUAGCCUCGAAAAUAGAUAGCGUUUAAGAGUGACCUAUACUCGAUUGUUGGGGCAAGGGUUAGGCCCUAAUAAGUAAGAGGGGGCGAUAAUCGCCAUAAAACCCGGGGUGCCAGCUCGGGUAGAGCGACUGUCAGUGCAGAUCUGGGUGGUAGUAGCAAAUAUUCAAAUAAGAACUUGAAGGUUAAAGAAGGGAAAGGUUCCAUGUGAGCGGCACUUGUACAUGGGUUAAUCGAUCCUAAAAGAUUGGGAAACCCAUUCGAUAGUGCGUCCAGCGCGAGUUUUGAAAGGAAAUCAGGUUAAAAUUCUUGAACCAGGAUAUGGUGGUUGACGGUAAUAUUAGGGAGUCCAGAAACGUCGGCGAGGGUUUCGGGAAAAGUCAUCUUUUUUGUUUAAUGACCUACUCACCUUAGAAAGGCCUCAGUUGAAGGCAGGGUCCAACGGUCGAAAAAGGCUACACGUCUCGUGGUGUCUGGUGCAGCCCCGGUAGCUCUUGAAAAUUCAGAGGACAGACGGUUAUCCACUUCCGGUUGUACUCAAAAUUGCAUCAGGUCUCCAAGGUGAAUAACUUUUGGUC
rnacentral:ncRNA from 1 species